rnacentral:rRNA from 1 species
UACGAAGGGGGCUAGCGUUGUUCGGAAUUACUGGGCGUAAAGCGCGCGCAGGCGGCUAUCCAAGUCAGUGGUGAAAGCCCGGAGCUCAACUCCGGAACUGCCAUUGAAACUGUUUAGCUGGAGUAUGAGAGAGGUGAGUGGAAUUCCCAGUGUAGGAGGUGAAAUUCGUAGAUAUUGGGAAGAACACCGGUGGCGAAGGCGGCUCACUGGCUCAUUACUGACGGCUCAUGCGCGACAGCGUGGGGAUCAAACAGG